UUGAAGAAAUCUUAGUAGAGAACUGGAGUGAUGGGAACCCAAGAAGAAAAGCAUUGGCCGAGGACUGAGACCCGUUGGCAUGCAGCCUGGACAUCACACGGAAGAGGAAUUCAUACCUGGCAUGAAUGGGAGCCAACACUCCUAUUCCUUUUUCUACUUGAAGAAGGCGCUUUUGAAGAAGUGUUUGGAACACAAAAGUGGUACGGCUCGGUGUGAGACUUCAUCAUUCUAUAUUGCUGGCAACUCAGCUGAGGGCACAAAAAGAACGCCUCUCAGACAAGACGAAGUGGUAUGAAUCCUCCCAAGGAAUUAUGGCAGUAAUCAAUGGAUUCUAGCCGCUCAGUUUAAAUACAAAGGAGACAAUGUGAACAAUGAAGUUUCAGGGUCAGUACAGCUGUAAGCACACAUCUAGAACACCCAGUAAUUCCUUUCCUGAGCUUCCCCGUUAAUUAACGCCAGAAAGCUGACUGACUGAUGAACUGCAGGAUACGAUGUUAAUUUGCUGUAGGACAACAGAUGUUAGUCGUCCAUUGUUCCUUAAGGGUUCCUUAUUCAACAGUGAUGCUGGAAACAGUGGCUCCAAAUAUAUCAGAGUAACCGUCACAAUGAGAGCAGCACAUCCACAGUUGUAGAGCCGCUUCAGCCACCAGGAACGCCACAGUCCGACGGGUACGGAAACCAUGCAUAGAACAGACUAAGAGCCUGUUACAGCAAACACCUCCCAUGUGUCACCCAGGGACAUGUUACAGGACAGAAGACACAUACAAAUAAACCCAGCAGCCAUCCUAAGGCCUGCUCACCCAAGUGCGGGAGUGUAAAUAAAAACUCCAGGAGCCUUGAAACAGAACUCAGAUUCAGUUUUUGCUUCAGAAAGGGAUAAACUACACCUACGGCUUGGGCUCAGUCUUGGUCUUUCAAAGCUCACCCUGUGGCUAGCACAUGUUAGAACGUGGGCACAAACAACCCUUGUUCCAGUACCCACACGUCUAAUUUAUGCUGCUGUUGAGAAACAACAAUGAAGAGCCCGAAGCAAUGCGGUACCAGGAAUGUAACUGUUCUCAUUUUCAACCCUUUCUUUUUAAGUGUGUGAUAAACUCGGAACUCACCGUAAGUUCUGUGGUAAAACUGGGCUUUGUGGUAUGUGUAUAGGUUUAUUUAGCAAGCUCUCUGAC